rnacentral:rRNA from 1 species
UACGAAGGGGGGCUAGCGUUGUUCGGAAUUACUGGGCGUAAAGGGCGCGUAGGCUGUGCUGUAAGUCAGGCGUGAAAUCCCCCGGGCUCAACCUGGGAAUUGCGUUUGAUACUGCGGCGCUGGAAUGCAGGAGAGGAUGGCGGAAUUCCCAGUGUAGAGGUGAAAUUCGUAGAUAUUGGGAAGAACACCGGUGGCGAAGGCGGCACUCUGGCCUGUAAUUGACGCUGAGGCGCGAAAGCGUGGGGGAGCAAACAGGG